GAGAAUUAAUUGUUGGGGACAAAUAGACUGGUAAAACAGCAGUAGCAAUAGAUACGAUUCUCAAUCAACAAGGUCAAAAUGUAAUAAGUGUUUAUAUAGCUAUUGGUCAAAAAGCAUCUUCUGUGGCUCAGGUAAUAACUACUUUACAGGAAAGGGGGCGAUGGAAUACACUAUCGUGGUAGCCGAAACGAUGGAUUCCCCUGUUACAUUACAAUACCUUGCUUCUUAUACAUGAGCAGCUUUGGCUAAAUAUUUUAUAUACUGUAAACGACGCACUUUAAUCAUUUAUGAUGAUCUAUCCAAACAAG
rnacentral:lncRNA from 1 species